CCUACGGGAGGCAGCAGUGAGGAAUAUUGGUCAAUGGGCGAGAGCCUGAACCAGCCAAGUCGCGUGCAGGAUGAAGGAUCUAUGGUUUGUAAACUUCUUUUAUAUGGGAAUAAAGUGCGGAACGUGUUGCUUUUUGUAUGUACCAUAUGAAUAAGCAUCGGCUAAUUCCGUGCCAGCAGCCGCGGUAAUACGGAGGAUGCGGGCGUUAUCCGGAUUUAUUGUGUUUAAAGGGUGCGUAGGUGGUUGAUUAAGUGUGCUGUGAAAGUUUGGGGCUCAACCCGGAAAUUGCAGUUGAAACUGGUUGGCUUGAGUAUGCGUGAGGUAGGCGGAAUGCGUGGUGUAGCGGUGAAAUGCUUAGAGAUGACGAAGAACUCCGAUUGCGAAGGCAGCUUACUGCACCAUAACUGACGCUGAUGCUCGAAAGCGUGGGGAUCAAACAGGAUUAGAUACCCCGGUAGUC
rnacentral:rRNA from 1 species